rnacentral:rRNA from 1 species
GACGAACGCUGGCGGCGUGCUUAACACAUGCAAGUCGAACGGUGAAGGUGGGAGCUUGCUCCCGCUGGAUCAGUGGCGAACGGGUGAGUAACACGUGAGUAACCUGCCCUUGACUCUGGGAUAAGCGUUGGAAACGACGUCUAAUACCGGAUACGAGCUUCAGCCGCAUGGCUAGGAGUUGGAAAGAUUUUUCGGUCAAGGAUGGACUCGCGGCCUAUCAGCUUGUUGGUGAGGUAAUGGCUCACCAAGGCGACGACGGGUAGCCGGCCUGAGAGGGUGACCGGCCACACUGGGACUGAGACACGGCCCAGACUCCUACGGGAGGCAGCAGUGGGGAAUAUUGGACAAUGGGCGCAAGCCUGAUCCAGCCAUGCCGCGUGGAUGAUGAAGGCCCUAGGGUUGUAAAGUCCUUUCGGCGGGGAAGAUAAUGACGGUACCCGCAGAAGAAGCCCCGGCUAACUUCGUGCCAGCCGCCGCCGUAAAAC